rfam:Pteropus alecto contig32458, whole genome shotgun sequence.
GGUAGGGGCCAAAUCAAAACUGGUAACUCUAUAUCACCCUAAGAUGAAGAUAUUCUCUAUAAAUAAUAUGACAUGUGGAAGCUAAGCAGGGCUGGGCCUGGUUAGUGCUUGGAUAGGAGACCACCUAGGAAGACCAGGUGCUGUAGGCA